rnacentral:lncRNA from 8 species
CAGGAGCCUAUAUGAGACGUAUGGCAGAUGUUGUUGUAAUGAAGUCAUAUUCUAAAACACAGAGGUUUAAUAAUAUGAAAAGGGAAGGAAAGACACUGAUAUGAACAUGUUUCUGUCAGUUCUGCUUUGUUAGUCAUGACGGACGGUGUUGUUCUUCCCGACUGACUCAGAAAAGCAACAUCGGCUGUCCACGGAUUGCAUUAAAGACGCCUGAUUUCAUAACUGGCAACGUGUAUAUCACAAAUCACCUUGACAUCUAAAUCACAGUUCUCUAUCCUUUUCUCUCCCUCUCUCUAUCCUUCUCUAUCCCUCUCUCUCUCCUUCUCUCUUUCCCUCUCCUUCUCUCUUUCCCUCUCCCUCUCUCUUUCCCUCUUCUCUUCUCUUUCCCUCUCCUUCUCUCUUUCCUUCUCUCUUUCCCUCUCCCUCUCUCUUUCCCUCUCCCUCUCUCUUUCUCUUUCCCUCUCUCCUCUCUUUCCCUCUCCUUCUCUCUUUCCCUCUCCUUCUCUCUUUCCCUCUCCUUCUCUCUUUCCCUCUCUCUCUCUCUUACCCUCUCUCCUCUUUCCCUCUCCUCUCUUUCCCUCUCCUUCUCUCUUUCCCUCUCUCCUCUCUUUCCCUCUCUCCUCUCUUUCCCUCUCUUUCCCUCUUUCCCUCUCUUUCCCUCUCCUUCCAUCUCUCCUUCUCUUUCCCUCUUCUUCCCUCUCUCCUCUCUUUCCCUCUCCUUCUCUCUUUCCCUCUCUUUCUCUCUUUCCCUCUCCUUCUCUCUUUCCUCCUUCUCCCUCUCUCUUUCUCUCUUUCUCUAUUUCCCUCUCUUUCUCUCUUUCCCUCUCUUUCCCUCUCUUCUCUCUUUCCCUCUCUUUCCCUCUCUCCUCUCUUUCCCUCUCUCCUCUCUUUCCCUCUCUUUCCCUCUCCUUCUCUCUUUCCCUCUCCUUCCCCCUCACCUCUCUUUCCCUCUCCUUCCCUCUCUCCUCUCUUUCCCUCUCUUUCCCUCUCCUUCCCUCUUUCCCUCUCCCUCUCUCUUUCCCUCUCCUUCUCUCUUUCCCUCUCUUUCUCUCUUUCCCUCUCAUUUUCUCUUUCUUCCUUCUCCCUCUCUCUUUCUCUCUCUUUCUCUCUUUCCCUCACCCUCUCUCUUUCCUUCUCUUUCCCUCUUCUUCUCUCUUUCCCUCGCCCUCUCUCUCUCCUUCUCUCUUUCCCUCGCCUUCUCUUUUUCUCUUUCUUUACCUCGCCUUCUCGCCUUCUCUCUACCUCUCUCUUUCCCUCUCUUUCUCUCUUUCCCUCUCUUUUUCUCUCUCCUUCUCUCUUUCCCUCUCUCUUUCUCUUUCCUUCUCUUUCCCUCUCCUUCUCUCUUUCCCUCGCCCUCUCUCUCUCCUUCUCUCUUUCCCUCACCUUCUCUCUUUCCCUCGCUCUCUCUCUCCUUCUCUCUUUCCCUCGCCUUCUCUCUUUCCCUCGCCUUCUCUCUUUCCCUCGCCUUCUCUCUUUCCCUCGUCUUCUCUCUUUCUCUCUCCUUCUCUCUUUCCCUCUCUCUUUCUCUCUCCUUCUCUCUUUCCCUCUCUCUUUCCUUCUCUCUUUCCCUCUCUCUCUCCUUCUCUCUUUCCCUCUCUCUCUCCUUCUCUCUUUCCCUCUCUCUCCUUCUCUCUCCUUCUCUCUAUCCCUCUCUCCUCUCUAUCCCUCUCUCCUCUCUAUCCCUCUCUCCUCUCUAUCCCUCUCUCCUCUCUCUCCUCUCUAUCCCUCUCUCCUCUCUAUCCCUCUCUCCUCUCUUUCCCUCUCUCCUCUCUUUCCCUCUCCCCCCUCUCCUCUCUUUCCCUCUCUCCUCUCUUUCCCUCUCUCCUCUCUUUCCCUCUCUCCUCUCUUUCCCUCUCUUUCCCUCUCUUUCCCUCUCUUUCCCUCUCCUUCUCUCUUUCCCUCUCUCCUCUCUUUCCCUCUCCCUCUCUCUUUCCCUGUCCCUCUCUCUUUCCCUCUCCCUCUCUCUUUCCCUCUCCCUCUCUCUUUCCCUCUCCCUCUCUCUUUCCCUCUCUUUCUCUCUUUCCCUCUCCUUCUCUAUUUCCCUCUCCUUCUCUCUUUCCUCCUUCUCCCUCUCUCUUUCUCUCUCUUUCCUCCUUCUCCCUCUCUCUUUCUCUCUCUUUCUCUCUUUCCCUCGCCUUCUCUCUUUCCCUCACAUUCUCGCUUUCCCUCGCCUUCUCUCUUUCCCUCGCCUUCUCUCUUUCUCCCUUGCCUUCUCGCCUUCUCUCUUUACCUCUCUCUUGCUCUCACCUUCUCUCUUUCCCUCUCUCUUUCUCUCUCCUUCUCUCUUUCCCUCUCUCUCUCCUCUCUUUCCUUCUCUCUCCUUCUCUCUUUCCCUCUCUCUCUUCUUCUCUCUUUCCCUCUCUCUCUCCUUCUCUCUUUCCCUCUCUCUCUCCUUUUCUUUCUCCUUCUCUCUUUCCCUCUCUCUAUCUC